rnacentral:rRNA from 1 species
GUGCCAGCAGCCGCGGUAAUACGUAGGUGUCGAGCGUUAUUCGGAUUUACUGGGCGUAAAGCGCACCGAGGUGGCUUCUUAAGUUGGAUGUGAAAUCUCCUGGCUUAACUGGGAGACGCCAUUCAAAACUGGGGAGCUUGAGGUCAGCAGGGGAAAGUGGAAUUCCCGGUGUAGUGGUGGAAUGCGUAGAGAUCGGGAGGAACACCAGUGGCGAAAGCGACUUUCUGGGCUGCACCUGACACUCUAGUGCGAAAGCGUGGGGAGCAAACAGGAUUAGAAACCCCCGUAGUCC